CUGAGUGGCGUCGGUUCUCGGACGUUCUCCCCCUAGAACUGCGGGCCGCGGGAGUCUGAGCGCCCACAGGAGGCGGCCCGGAGGCCUCGUUGGCGCCCCAAAGCCGCGCCGCCGGCUCCUCCCAGGACGCCCCGAGUGCACGCUCUGGCAGUGACUUGAAAACAACAAUAAAAGAAAAAAACAGCCGUUUCGGUUAAAAGGCACCGACCCCUUCAGGCGCUAGGGGCGGCCCGGCCCGGCCCGGCCCGGCUUGCCACCACUGCGCUCCCAACUACUUUGCAGAGGGGCCGAGAACCCCCACUCCCCAGGGGGCGGGGGGCUGCCCUGAUGCUGCUCUCUGCCCUCAGCCCCUCAAAGAUCGACUUCGUGUGCACCCAAAGGCUUUGUGGGAAUGGCGCAAGGAAAAGAUCGCACAUGACGCAAAGGAGCCCGAGUUCGGGAACUCGCAGGCGCUGAUUCCCAAGCGGGUCAAAGCGUUGCAGGCGCCGGGAGCUGGAAGGCUGUAACAUUCACCGGCUUGCUGCGUGCCCCCCGGGCGCGGCCCCAAGCUCCUUCUAUGGAUCAACUCGUUCUCUCCGCACGGCCGCCCCAGGAGGCAGGGGAACCUCUCAGGGCAGUGGCACUGCCGCCGAGGACAGCAGCGAAUGGACUCAGAGGGCAGGCAUUGUGUACUAGACCUUAAGAAGAUGGCCCAAGUCCUUGGGCCCCUGCACCCAUGUGGGAGAUCCAGAAGAAGCUCCUGGCCUCGGAUUGACACAGCUCCGGCUGUUGGCAGCCAUCUGGGGAGUGAACCAGUGGAUGGAAGACCUCUCUCUCUCUCUCUACCUCUCUCUGUAACUCUUUAAAAUAAAUAAAAUAAAUCUUCAAAAAAAAUUCAAAUCUUUUUUUUUUGGGAGGGGGGCACUGUUUCAGUUUCUUUUUUCCUGACUUCUCCUCCUCUGUCUACAUUGCCAACAUAUCUUCUGUUUUCCCAGAAAUAUUAUCUACAAGCUGACAUCUAUUUUUAAAUUUUUAACUGACAUAAAAUUGUAGAUAUUUAUGGGAUACGGUGUGAUGAUUCAAUGUGUGCAUACCUUGUGUAGUAUUCAAGACAGGGUAAACAUGUCCGUCUCCUCAUUUAUCAUUUCUUUAUCCUGAAAAGGCAUAUUUUCAGCUGUUUGUGAAGCCAAACAGCUUGUGGCAGGAACAGGAAUCAAAAAUCAGGCAGUUGGGGCUGGCUUUGUGGUAUAGUGGGUAAAGCCACUGCCUGCAGUGCCGGCAUCCCAUGUGGGCACCAAUUCAAGUCCUGGCUGCUCCACUUCCCAUCCAGCUCUCUACUAUGGCCUGGGAAAGCAGUGGAAGAUGGCCCAAGGGCUUGGGCCCUUGCAUCCGCGUGGGAGAGCCGGAGGAAGCUCCUGGCUCCCAGCUUUGGAUCAGCACAGCUCCAGCCGUUGCGGCCAAUUGGGGAGUGAACCAUCGGAUGGAAGACCAUUCUCUGUCUCUCCUCUCUCUGUGUAACUCUGGCUUUCAUAUAAAUAAAUAAAUCUUAAAAAAAAAAAAAAUCAGGCAGUCACCCUGUGGAGCUGGAGCUUUGAAGCAUUUGUGCUGUUGGAUUUCUGGAGCUUCAGUCCUGAGUCCUCUUCCGAGCCUCUUCGCCCAUGCCUCUGGCUUCAGGUACCAUUUACUUGAAGGCAGCUCUUGAAUAUAUCACUUCAGCUCAGGCCUCGCCUUCAAAUCCCAGACCUGAGUAUCUAACCAGUUCCUUGCCAUUUCUUCUUGGCCAUCUUCAGUGUACAUCAAGCUGAAUGAGAAUAGAAUAUGAUCUCCCAAUAUUGUCUCCUGUUCCCCUAACCUGUCCUUACUCUGGAAUCUUCUAAGUGGCUGGUGCCAUAGCGAAGCAGCAGUACAAACCAAAGCGUCUGCUUAGUUGGCUCAGGCUGCUAUGAUAGAAUACCGUAGAGCAGGAGGCUUACAGACAACAGGAAGUUGUUUCUCGUACUUCUAGGGGCUGGGAAGUCCAAGGUUUGCCUGGUGAUUGGGUGUCUGGUGGGGCCCAUCUCCUGGAUCGUGGGUGGCUCUCUUCC